UGGAGAGAGAAAAAAUAAAAGAUUAUAGAAAUCUUAUCUCUAUCGUACUUGAGAUUUUCUAUCUCACUAAUCUGUCCUUUUCAUCUUACUCUCACAUUUUCACUAUCUCUUUAUCUCUACCUCUUCUGCAUCUCCUUAUCACUUUACAGUUGGAUCCGGUUCCUCUCCGGCGUCUUACCGCACACGGCCGUUGAAGCUCAUGACCGUCGUCGCGUCUCAUCGUUCUAUCUCCGCUCUCGGUGCUGGCCUGCUCACCAUAUUCCAUUCUUCUUCUCCUUCUCUCACGACAGCCAACAUGGCUCCUCCUUCCUCCACAGAGCCAAGCACCAUCGUCGCUUCUUCUGUUCCAGGCGAGCCACACCCACACCACCAGCAAACCGCGAGCUCCUUCCCUUCCAUGGUUGUGAAGCCAUCACCACUCCCAAGCUCCAUCACUUGGUUAUUCAGGAUGCAAAAGUGUUCAUGGUUGGCACUGGCGGAAUUGGCUACGGACUCCUCAAGACUCUAGCCCUAUCCUGUUUCUCUGACAUAAACAUCGUCAGGUGGAUCAUACAAGAACCCAUUUGUGAUUGAAGCAUAGUGGUGACUAGAAUUACAAACUCAAGUGUGAAGAAUUUCCACCAAAGCAACUAAAGUUUCAACUUUGAAGUUGAAAAAUCAAGUGUGAAGAACAUCUAUCAAGAACAAGACUUUUGUACUCAUUUCAUUAGUAUAAGAUAUCAAGAACAUGAUAUUUGAACUCCUUGUACUCGUUACCUGUACCAUGUUGUAACAAAAGUGAA